CCUACGGGUGGCAGCAGUGAGGAAUAUUGGUCAAUGGACGCAAGUCUGAACCAGCCAUGCCGCGUGCAGGAAGACGGCUCUAUGAGUUGUAAACUGCUUUUGUACGAGGGUAAACGCAGAUACGCGUAUCUGUCUGAAAGUAUCGUACGAAUAAGGAUCGGCUAACUCCGUGCCAGCAGCCGCGGUAAUACGGAGGAUUCAAGCGUUAUCCGGAUUUAUUGGGUUUAAGGGGUGCGUAGGCGGUCGGAUAAGUUAGUGGUGAAAUCCCGAGGCUCAACUUCGGAAUUGCCUCUGAUACUGGUAGGCUAGAGAGUAGUUGAGGUAGGCGGAAUGUAUGGUGUAGCGGUGAAAUGCUUAGAGAUCAUACAGAACACCGAUUGCGAAGGCAGCUUACCAAGCUACUUCUGACGUUGAGGCACGAAAGCGUGGGGAGCAAACAGGAUUAGAUACCCCUGUAGUC
rnacentral:rRNA from 1 species